UAUCAUUCAAUUUAUUAGUUUAGACUUUACGUAAAUAUCUAAUAAGACGUUUAAGAUUUGACGUAACUUGUACAUGGUUUUGUAUUUUUGUAUUUUACAGUUUAAUAUAACCUGCGGCAUUUAUAACUCCGUUGCUGCGCAUCGUAUCGGUAUCACGCGGCCGCCCUGUGCCGCACGCACGCAGUCGUCGCGCCGCGGCGCGUUAUCAUUCGCGUCGCGAGGGUCGAACGGACAGGACGUGGCGCACGUCGCUCCGCGUGUCGUAUUACACCGCGAGAAUGUGUUCGCGACAAAUCGUAGCGAACGUUAAACGUGGUAAUCUACGAUUGUUAAAACGACCGGCUGCUUAUCGCCGAUUGAUUAACUACGGAAUCGAUGCGUAUGCGCGAGCACAGCUAAAACUUGAAAAUGUGUUAACUCGAAAUAAAGGUAGAAGCGAAUUGUUUCAUCGUAUCGUCUACGGUAUCGUAAUCGUCCCUUUGACUUUUAUUCGCGCGUGGAAUUUUCCAUCGCCCCGAAUACAGGUGGUACGUUUCCGGCGUAAAAUCGCGACACGACACGAUUAACUGUAUAAUUUAAAUCGCGAAAAUCCGUAUAAUGUGUCGACGUGUAAUGCAAUCACGCAGUCAAUGUGAAACGCGAUAGACUGAAUAUUCGGCAGGAUUUACUUCGCUGUACGGUAAACGUAAACAUCUCGCCGGGUAGCUCGUCAAAAAGGCAAAAAGUUGUUUGUCACACGGCAUUCUCGGAAUUCACUUCGCGCGGCGCACGACGUUGUUUUUACGCGACGGUUUUCACUACGCGCGACGCGCAAGGUCAAGGUUGUCUACCGGCGGUUACGCGAGCCGCGCUGCCCCGAUCGUCUCAGUUUCCUUCGUAACGCGAUCGCGACAACAAGUCCGCGAGUGUGCUCUCAAUUUUCGCGCGGUUAGAACGUGGGGUAAUUGAAUGGCCCGGGAUCGUUUCGUUUCCGGUCGCUCUCGGGCGCGAUCGCGGCGACUCGAGUGUCUAGAAAUUCAGCGGCCAAUCAACGCGCUUGAGACAUCGGCCCGGUUUCACCAAGCGUCGCCUAACUUCGAUCUUCGUUUAAUUCACGUUCGUCUCCGAGGUGAAACAGUUGGAAAGGGACGAAGAACGAAUUGAGCCGAGCUGAAACUUGAACAACGUUGGCGAAAACGGACCUUCGAACGCAGUGCGAUUAAUUUUCACGGCCCUGGGUGGAAAUGCGACGCUGCCGCGCGGCGUCUUCGUUUCCGGCCGCGUUCGGCCGCGAUCGUGGCGACUCGGCUGGAUUUCGCGCGCAGAGACAGAAGAAGAUCGUGGAACGGUACGCGCUCCUAAUGCCGGCGAUUAGCGGAAGGCCCGGCGUGUUCGCGACACGAAGGAACUCGGUGAAAUAGUGUCGCGAUCGUAUUUUCGGGAGUGUUGUGCGAGUUGAACGGCUGGCAACGAGUGCGUCCGAGAGGCCUGAGAGG